rnacentral:tRNA from 1 species
GGCUUGGAGGCUGAGUGGUAAAGCGCUUGGCUUCCGAACCUGGGUCCCAGGUACGAAUCCUGGUGAAGGCU